GUGCCUUCGGCAGUACAUAUAAUAAAUUGGAUACGAUACAGAGAAGGUGGCAUGGCCCCCUGCGAAAGGAUGACCAUAGGUCGUGAAGCGUUUCAUAUUGCA